CUGCUGCCUCCCGUAGGAGUUUGGGCCGUGUCUCAGUCCCAAUGUGGCCGUCCACCCUCUCAGGCCGGCUACUGAUCGUCGCCUUGGUGGGCCUUUACCCCGCCAACCAGCUAAUCAGACGCGGGUCCAUCCCAUACCACCUUGGUUUUCAACAAAAGCAUGCGCUUUCUGUUGUUAUGCGGUAUUAGCACCUAUUUCUAAGUGUUAUCCCCCUGUAUGGGCCAGGUUACCCACGCGUUACUCACCCGUCCGCCACUAAGCCUUUCCCUUUUCCCG
rnacentral:rRNA from 1 species